rnacentral:rRNA from 1 species
GUGCCAGCAGCCGCGGUAAUACGGAGGGGGCAAGCGUUGUUCGGAAUUACUGGGCGUAAAGGGCGCGUAGGCGGCUUUUUAAGUCGGUGGUGAAAUCCCGUGGCUCAACUGCGGAAUGGCCAUCGAUACUGGAAAGCUUGAAUCCGGAAGAGGUCGGCGGAAUUACUGGUGUAGCGGUGAAAUGCGUAGAUAUCAGUAGGAACACCGAUGGCGAAGGCAGCUGGCUGGACCGGUAUUGACGCUGAGGCGCGAAAGCGUGGGGAUCAAACAGGAUUAGAUACCCUUGUAGUCC